rnacentral:lncRNA from 1 species
GGUGGCCAGAAGGCACCCAGUAGAGGGCAGCAGAAGGUGCAUUGAGCUUAGGGUUUACAUACUUCAACUCCAGUCCUGGCUCCCUGACCCUCCACCUGUGUAAUUUCAUAUGUUUGAGCCUCUGUUUCAUCCACUGUAAAAUGGACUUAAUUUCUACCUUACAGGCUGAUUGUGAGGGCUGAAGAAGGCAAUACACCUGACACUCAUGAUCAUAAUUAGCAUUUCUUGAGUUCUUACUAUGUGCCAGGGACCCUGCUAAGUACUUUUCCUUAAUUAUAUCAUUUGACACUCACAACAACCUUAUGAGAUUUUUUAGCCUGCCACUCUUGAGCAGAGUACUGCCAUCCAAUUUGACUGCCCAACCUCUCCACCACCUGUGAAACACAAAUAACAGCAUUUCCUUUUCCAGGUGAGACUCAUCUUAGACCCAGUCAACCUGAGCUGAGAAAGACAAAGAAUAGUAAGUUAAGCCAGCACUGAAACACACCUCAUCAACUUCCUACUUUGCUAUGAAAGCCCCAAUUACAAAUAUCUCAUACCCUUUAUGCCAAAUGCAACUCUAGCAUCUGAAUUUUGGCUCAGAAAAUAUACACUCCUUGACUUUUCCCCUUGACCUAAGGGGCAAAACGCUGGCCCUAGAGUCAUACAUACCCACUCAUCUGGUUAUCAGCCCAUGGCUUUAGCCAAGUUAUGCAAUGUCUCUAAACUUCAGCUCCCUCAUCAUUAAAAUGGGCAUGACAACAUCUACCUUACAGAAGGUUUGUGAAGAUUAAUAUUGUCUAUGCAAACUCCCAACGCAAUGCAGGUAGUAGCUCAAAGAAUGCUCAUUUUCUUCCUGGCUGAUCACACAUACACAAAUAGAGGUGGAAAGAAGAAACCUCGUUCUGAUGUUUUCUGGAUGAUAAAAAGAGGAAAGAGCUACAGGUCUUUCAUGACCUUCGAGAUCAUCUAAGGAAAGAAGAGGGCCAUGCACAAACUCACUGGCCAAAACUGUCUCCUUGGAAGCCACUCUUUCAUUCAGAGACACCAUGUUGACAAUGGCAAGAGGGAGGAGACUGAUUCCUUUAUGUUGUACACCUGAUUGUCUUUUAAGACAAGGAUGAAAUGAUAGUUUUGUCCAUUUAUCUUCACAGGACAACUUACAACUGUGAUUCAGUUUGUAGAAGAAGAGAAACACACUAUUUCUACUAUUUUUAUUUUUUAAGGGAAUAGCGGAAGAAAUUUACAUGGCUAAAGAGGACCAACGAUGAAAUUACUUUUAAAAGAACAGAGAAUGCUGGGAGCAGUGGCUCACACCUGUAAUCCCAGCACUUUGGGAGG